CGCUAUCACUCCUACGGGAGGCAGCAGUGGGGGAAUAUUGCACAAUGGGGGAAACCCUGAUGCAGCCAUGCCGCGUGUGUGAAGAAAGGCCUUCGGGUUGUAAAGCACUUUCAGUAGGGAGGAAGGUAGUGUAGUUAACACCUGCAUUAUUUGACGUUACCUACAGAAGAAGCACCGGCUAACUCCGUGCCAGCAGCCGCGGUAAUACGGAGGGUGCGAGCGUUAAUCGGAAUUACUGGGCGUAAAGCGCAUGCAGGCGGCCUGUUAAGUCAGAUGUGAAAGCCCGGGGCUUAACCUCGGAAUUGCAUUUGAAACUGGCAGGCUAGAGUCUUGUAGAGGGGGUAGAAUUUCAGGUGUAGCGGUGAAAUGCGUAGAGAUCUGAAGGAAUACCAGUGGCGAAGGCGGCCCCCUGGACAAAGACUGACGCUCAGAUGCGAAAGCGUGGGGAGCAAACAGGAUUAGAUACCCUGGUAG
rnacentral:rRNA from 1 species